GCAGAGAUUAAAUCUCGUACCUUUUGCAUCAUGAUCUAGCCAGUAACCUNCAAGCAAAGAGCCCUCUAGUUUGAAACCCCGAAACCAGACGAGCUACUCCGGGGCGGCCUAUAAACAUAGGGCUAACCCGUCUCUGUGGCAAAAGGGUGGGAUGACCCCCGAGUAGAAGUGACAUACCUAUCGAGUCAGGUUAUAGCUGGUUGCCCAAGAAAUGAAUAGGAGUUCAGCCUCGCUGAGCCCUAAGCCACGAUAGUUUCACUUGAAUAAGGCGACAGGAUAUCUGCGAGAGUUAGUCAGAGGGGGAACAGCCCCUCUGACAAAGGAUACAACCUCCACAGGAGGCUAAGGAAUACAUUUGACAAGGCCAAAGGUUUCAGUGGGCCUGAAAGCAGCCAUCUGAAUAGAAAGCGUUAAAGCUCAAACCAGAUUUAAGCCUAUAAUCCCAUUUUACUCCCCAACGCCCCUAAUUUAUAUUGGGCCUUCCUAUGCCUCCAUAGGAGAGACCAUGCUAGAACGAGUAAUAAGAAGUAACGAACUUCUCCUUGGCAUACGUGUAAGUCGAUCUGGACUCGCCAUCGACAAUUAACGAACCCAAUAACAGAGGGACAUGCAUUCCCGCCAUAACAAGCCAGGAAAACCAUGCAGCCUCCCAAUCGUUACCCCUACACAGGUGUGCUUAAAAAAGGAAAGACUAAAAGAAUAAAAAGGAACUCGGCAAGCCUUAACCCCGCCUGUUUACCAAAGACACCGCCUCCUGCUCUAACUGUAUAGGAGGUCCCGCCUGCCCCGUGAUCA
rnacentral:rRNA from 1 species